GGGUUCCAGGUGCCCAUAGCAGAUGAAGGACCCAUGGCUCUCCAGGAAACUUCCCAGUCUUUAAUGACAGAUUGGAACUGCUGUGGAACCGAGGCUCAAGGACCAAACAACUACCAGGAAAAAAUGUUCUAAGUUGUUAAUACUGCAGAUGAGUGGAGAAAACGUGACGGACAGCAACUAAGCAAUUGAAACAAAGCUGAGCAGACCAUGCCUCGUCAUGCGUAAAACCAUUAAUAUAAUUACAGCACCAGAGAUCAAAGGCAAGGUUUGGAGAAAUUUAUUCAACUGCUUUUAUAGAAAGGCUGGACUCAAAUUAUGUAUUUGAAGCUGCCCUUCAACUCCUGAUCCUCCAGCUUCUACUUUCCAAGCAUUGGAAUUACAGCUUUCUAGUGAUUGUAUAUCUCCACAAUGAUGGACAUGGGAAUCAGAAUCCUCCUGAGAAGGAGAGGGGAGGAAGAUGCACCAGGAAGACAAUGUCUUUUUUGUGUUGUGAUGGAAUCACAUUCAGCAUACUCUUCAGUGUUGUGAUGGAAUCACAUUCAGACCCAUGGAAAAUAGAGCAGUUCCCUGCUUGCUCUUGAGCUGGAAAUCUGUUCUCUAUUAUAAGGAGAGGGGUCCUGUAUAUGCCCAGUGCGAUGGAUAUAUUGGAUGUCGACUUGACUUCAUCUGGAAUUGACUAAAACCCCAAAAUGGCUGUGCACACCUGUGAGGAAUGUUUUCUGAAUUAAAUAAUUUGAAAUGGGAAGAUCUACACUUCUAAUCUGAAUCUUUGAGGUGGGAAGCUCCUGUAAAGGAUACACAAGAAGGAAAUGUCACUCUUUAUCUGCUUGAUUUUGUCCUAGACAGCAAGUCUAUUCCUUUGCUGGCAUUAGAGUUUACUUCUUCAAUAUUCUGGCAUAUACUGAGGCCCAGCUGAGACAUGUAGCCUCAUGGACAGAUCAACUAUUGGAUUCUUGAACCUUCUGUUCAUAGGCAGCCAUUGUUGGAUUAGCUGGACUACAGCCUGUAAGUCAUUCUAAUAAACCCCCUUUCUGCAUAUAUAUUCAUUCUAUAAAUCUGUUACUCUAGAGAACCCUGACU
rnacentral:lncRNA from 1 species